GCCAGCAGCUAUAUCACCCUGCAACUCACAACUGGUAACCCACUGAAGCUAAGCAGGUGUGAGCCUGGUCAGUACCUGGAUGGAAGACCUCCUGGGAAAAACUAAGGUUGCUGCUGGAA
ensembl:rRNA 5S_rRNA 5S ribosomal RNA